GUUGAAGGUUGGGUAACACUAACUGGAGGACCGAACCGACUAAUGUUGAAAAAUUAGCGGAUGACUUGUGGCUGGGGGUGAAAGGCCAAUCAAACCGGGAGAUAGCUGGUUCUCCCCGAAAGCUAUUUAGGUAGCGCCUCGUGAACUCAUCUUCGGGGGUAGAGCACUGUUUCGGCUAGGGGGCCAUCCCGGCUUACCAAACCGAUGCAAACUCCGAAUACCGAAGAAUGUUAUCACGGGAGACACACGGCGGGUGCUAACGUCCGUCGUGAAGAGGGAAACAACCCAGACCGCCAGCUAAGGUCCCAAAGUCAUGGUUAAGUGGGAAACGAUGUGGGAAGGCAUAGACAGCCAGGAUGUUGGCUUAGAAGCAGCCAUCAUUUAAAGAAAGCGUAAUAGCUCACUGGUCGAGUCGGCCUGCGCGGAAGAUGUAACGGGGCUAAACCAUGC
rnacentral:rRNA from 1 species